GAUUCACAUAAUAGACCGUUAUGCUCAACAAACCAUUCUAAACGAUUUUUUAUAAGAUGUUCUGUAAUUUUCAUCAAAACAGAAGAAAGUGCGAUUGGGCGAUAGGCAGAAUGGUCUGAAGAACACCUAUUAGGUUUCAGUACGGGAAUUAUUUCUUGACGUUUCCACGUGGAGGGGAUGUUACCAGAUGUCACUAUGGAAUUUAUAAGAGAUAAAUAAUAAAAUAAAGCAUCAUCAUCUAAAUGAGAGAUAAAGGAAUACGGAAUACCGUCCAGUCCAGGAGCAGAAUCCUUAAGAUGAGACAAUACACCUUUUAGUUCAGUGAGAGAAAAUAUACUGUUUAAACCAAAAGAGUUAUCAUUAUUUAUAUUUAUUACAGGGUAACCAAUUAUUAAGUCUUCAGGAACGAAAGGUGGAGCCAAUUUAUCUAAAAAGCUAUUAACUAAAUGAAAAGGGAUUGAUUUUGGAGAUGAAUCUUUGUAUGCAGAUCUAAACCUUCUUAUAUUUUGCCAUACAAGAGAUGGUUUGACAUCAGGUGAUAUUGAAUAGCAGAAAUUUUUCCAGCCAUCAAAUUUCUUUUUCUUUAGAAAUUUUGAAGUUUCUGACAUACUCUUUGUAAGAAUUUCAAAAUUCUCAUCAGUGGAACAUUGACAGUAUGUAAUUUCAGCAUAUUUUCUUCUCUUUACUGCCUCAGUACAUUCGUUAUCCCACCAAGGAGAAGGAAUAAAACCCAAAGAGCUAUUUUUACUUGGAAAUAUCUCAUUGGCAACCUCAAUAAAGAUUCUUGCUAAAGAAUCUGCACACUGAGAUUCUGUACCUGGAUUAAUUGUUGGAAGUGUUGGAAAUGAUAAUAAUAGUGGGAAGUGAUCACUACCAAAAGUAGAUCAUAAUGGAUCCCAGGACAAAGAAGAAGCAAGAUUAGGUGUAGUGACUGUUAAAUCUGGAGCACUUGGGCCCUCUUCAGGAUGAGAACGUCGUGUAGGACGACCAUCAUUUAAUAUACACAAAUUCACUGAAUCAAAUAUAUCUAUUAAUGUGUUACCAUAACUAUUAGAAGAUAAGUAACCCCAGGAUUCAUGGCGACAGUUAAAAUCACCAAGGAUCAUAAAAGGCUUCGGAAGAAUGGAAAUAAUAUCUUUAAUUUCAUUUAAGAUUGCAGAAGAAGGAUGAGGAAUAUAAAUAGAUACAUAACAGAUAUUUUCAACUAAAGCAGCAAUAAUAGAAAAAUCAUUACUGUGAGAAGGAAUAGAGAAGAGAGAAAAGGAAAGAGGGUGUUUCACAAGCAUGGCUACUCCGCCAUGCCCAUCCACACGAUCUUCUCUGAGACAUGAAUAACCACGAAUCUUAAAUAAAGAUCCUGGUUUCAACCAUGUCUCUUGAAGAGCACAGAUAUAAGGUUUAUAUUUAUUUAAUAAAUAAAUAAGAUCACUUUUUUUAGGAGUGAUGCUUUGACAAUUCCAUUGAAGAACUUUGUCCAUUAUUUGGUUUAUAAAUUUGAGUAAUUGCAGAAACUAAUAAGGCAGUGUUGGACGGUGAAAAUUCAUUCGAUUGACUAAGAGAUUUUAUAAGAGAAAUAAUUAAAUCAAUUACUGAGGAUUCCAAAGGAUUUUCAUUUUCUUUGUUAAUUAAUGCACAUCCAUUAGAGGGUUGGGGAAUAUUAAAAUCCCUUAAAAUUUCUUGUGUCUGCAUAUUCUGGGUCGAGCUGACACUCUUUUACGGCCACUAGAUGUCUGAGACACAGAACCAUCUGUAUCCAUAGUGCUACCUUCGUCAUUAUUAGAAAUUGUCACUACAUGACCUAUAUCAGGGGCUGUCCCCCCAGGAUCAUCCGGGGGGUCCAUCAUAGCAUAGAAAAGUGAAGAAAAGAAGACUUACCAAUAGGAUGAAAUUUACACAAAUUAACACUUUAAUAAAAACUAACUACAAAAAUAUAUACAAACUACAACUUAUCUGAUCAAAAUAU